GCCCAGGUGGCGGAAUUGGUAGACGCACUAGUUUCAGGUACUAGCGGGUAACUCCGUGGGGGUUCUUCCUGGGCACCA
rnacentral:tRNA from 1 species